ensembl:snoRNA small nucleolar RNA SNORD88
CGCCUCCCCUGAUGACUUGCACUGGGCUCUGAGUCAGUAUGGAGACAACGUGCAUCUCUGGAUUUAAGCACAAGCCAGAGUUUCUGAGGAGAAG